GGGCGCGUAGCUCAGAGGGAGAGCGUCUGCCUUACAAGCAGAAGGUCGUAGGUUCAAGUCCUACCGCACCCACCA
rnacentral:tRNA from 2 species